UCUCCACCCGAGACUCAGUGAAAUUGAACUCGCUGUGAAGAUGCAGUGUACCCGCGGCAAGACGGAAAGACCCCGUGAACCUUUACUAUAGCUUGACACUGAACAUUGAGCCUUGAUGUGUAGGAUAGGUGGGAGGCUUUGAAGUGUGGACGCCAGUCUGCAUGGAGCCGGCCUUGAAAUACCACCCUUUAAUGUUUGAUGUUCUAACGUGGACCCGUGAUCCGGGUUGCGGACAGUGUCUGGUGGGUAGUUUGACUGGGGCGGUCUCCUCCUAAAGAGUAACGGAGGAGCACGAAGGUUGGCUAAUCCUGGUCGGACAUCAGGAGGUUAGUGCAAUGGCAUAAGCCAGCUUGACUGCGAGCGUGACGGCGCGAGCAGGUGCGAAAGCAGGUCAUAGUGAUCCGGUGGUUCUGAAUGGAAGGGCCAUCGCUCAACGGAUAAAAGGUACUCCGGGGAUAACAGGCUGAUACCGCCCAAGAGUUCAUAUCGACGGCGGUGUUUGGCACCUCGAUGUCGGCUCAUCACAUCCUGGGGCUGAAGUAGGUCCCAAGGGUAUGGCUGUUCGCCAUUUAAAGUGGUACGCGAGCUGGGUUUAGAACGUCGUGAGACAGUUCGGUCCCUAUCUGCCGUGGGCGCUGGAGAACUGAGGGGGGCUGCUCCUAGUACGAGAGGACCGGAGUGGACGCAUCACUGGUGUUCGGGUUGUCAUGCCAAUGGCACUGCCCGGUAGCUAAAUGCGGAAGAGAUAAGUGCUGAAAGCAUCUAAGCACGAAACUUGCCCCGAGAUGAGUUCUCCCUGACCCUUUAAGGGUCCUGAAGGAACGUUGAAGACGACGACGUUGAUAGGCCGGGUGUGUAAGCGCAGCGAUGCGUUGAGCUAACCGGUACUAAUGAACCGUGAGG
rnacentral:rRNA from 1 species